GCUAUACUACAACAGUAUAAACUUUAAAACUUUGUGAGAUGGCAGAUUCUGGUCUAUCAGAAAAAGCACUUAUCACCGAGAGUGUGGAGACCAUUCGUACUACCUCAGUGUUCACGGACCCUUAUGAACGCUCUGUUAACUAUAUGGAGACUCACAGUAUUCUUCAGAUUUUUCAGGUGCAAAUGAAGAUCAAAGUCCGUGAUGAGUCAAGCAACACAUUUGUGAAAUCAUGAUGAAUUCUAAAGCAAAGUAACAAGGGCUUUGCAACAAAUGGAAUCCAAGGUUAUUCUUUUAUUUAUACAAUUCUUUAAAUAAGGUAUUGAAUGCUGUCAUCCCGUGACUCUGCAUUGUUGUUUCCAAGCAACUGUCUUCAGAUGUUCUUUUUUUUUUUGUUCCAAAUUUACCAUGUUUUGCCACAAUUUUGAGACCUUAUUAGCAUUCAUUUUCAGUCAAACAGCGCUGAAAUAUUAAUAAUGUAGUUUGUGAGGGUCUUUGACCUAAAUAUCUCAAUGAACACACUUAAGUGGCAAGUUAGAGCUAUUAAAUGUGGCAAAAAAAAUAAAUAAAUAAAUACAGUUAACA
ensembl:lncRNA